rnacentral:lncRNA from 10 species
UGGAGUGCAGUGGCGCCAUCUCGGCUCACUGCAACCUCCACCUCCUGGAUUGAAGCAAUUCUCCUGCCUCAGCCUCCUGAGUAGCUGGGACCAUAGGCACACGCCACCCCGUCAAACUAAUUUUAAAAUCUUUUUGUAGCAAUUGUGUCUCACUGUGUUGCUAAGGCUAGUCUCGAACUCCUGAGCUCAAGCGAUCCUCCUGCCUCUGCCUCCCAAAGUGCUAGGAUGACAGGUGUGAGCCACCGCGCCCGGCCUUUUGUUUCUGAAAUUCAGGUGCUGUUGCCACAGCUCUUAGACAAAGAGGGCAGCGGAGCAGGGAGUCUCAGCUGAGGACUCAUGGGUGGACAUUGGAAUUUCCAGGAACCUUCUGAAAUCUUUUAAAUGUUGAGAGUAUAUAUUUACAUGCACAUUUUUUAUAGGGGGUUCAGAGCGUUCAUCACAUUCUCACAAGUUUCUGUAUCCGCCUCUCCUCUGCCCCCACCCCACCCCCAACAAAAAGGGCUAAAAACUAGUGGUGAGCCGGGUGCAGUGGCUCACGCCUGUAAUCCCAGCACUUUGGGAGGCUGAGGUGGGCAGAUUGCCUGAGGUCAGGAGUUUGAGACCAGCCUGACCAACACGGAGAAACCCCGUCUCUACUAAAAAUACAAAAUAAGCUGGGCGUGGUGGUGCAUGCCUGUAAUCCCAGCUACUCGGGAGGCUGAGGCAGGAGAAUCACUUGAACCCGGGAGGCAGAGGUUGCAGUGAGCUGAGAUCGCAUCAUUGUACUCCAGCCUGGGUGACAGGAGCGAAACUCUGUCUCAAAAAAAAUAAAAAUAAAAAUAAAAAUGGUGAGGGCG